UGUUCUCUAAGCCUAAAAGGUUUGUGUUUCAGGUUUAUGGAGCAAAGGACAAAAAUGACAUAAAUAGAAGUUCUCAUGAACCACACGAUCCCAGUAAUGGAUAUGACUUACAUAUACCUACUUGUCUCCAGCUAUGCCAACCACAGCAAAAAGACGGUGAAACACCGGAAAAAGCAGCAGAUCUAGGAUUACAACUACAAUAACAAAGCAAGCGGGAACAAGGUGUUUGGCGUAGCAGAUAGGAACCUUGGUGGGCAGUUGGGGGUUCGACGAUCCCACGCCCCUCUCCUCUCCCCUUAAGAUAUAUAUAUGAUGUUCUUUCCGUAUCCAGAAAAAAAAUGCAAGCAAAGACGACUGUGGAGAUGAUAGUCAAUUCCAUUAAUGACUUGGCGCAGAGUGACAAAAAUUAUUGUUUAUCAUCAACCUCCUGUGUGGAAGAUAGUGGAAAAGAGACAUUCAGCAUAAACACCAUCAGAUUUGGUAAGAUAAGAUACUCGAAAUAAACUUUUAGGAUUUCUCUGAUAUGAUCAACCACCCACUUUAUUUAUGUAA